rnacentral:rRNA from 1 species
CAGUAGCCGCGGGAAUACGAGGGGGGCAAGCGUUGUUCAGAAUUAUUGGGCGUAAAGGGCGCGUAGGCGGUUUGGCAAGUUUGGUGUGAAAUCUUCGGGCUCAACUCGAAGUCUGCAUCGAAAACUGCCGGGCUUGAGUAUGGGAGAGGUGAGUGGAAUUUCCGGUGUAGCGGUGAAAUGCGUAGAUAUCGGAAGGAACACCUGUGGCGAAAGCGGCUCACUGGACCAUUACUGACGCUGAGGCGCGAAAGCUAGGGGAGCAAACAGGAUUAGAUACCCGCGUAGUCCCUGUCUCUUAUAA